UCUCAAGUGAAGGGCAAAGAUAUCACUGAGCUGAUUGCUGCCGGCAGAGAAAAGUUGGCUUCAGUACCUGCUGGUGGAGGUGCUGCUUGUGCAGUUGCUGCACCUGGUGGUGGCGGUGCUGCUGCACCUGCUGCUGCGGAGAAGAAGGAAGAAAAGAAAGUGGAAGAAAAAGAGGAGUCAGAUGAUGACAUGGGCUUCAGUCUUUUCGAUUAGAAGAAGUCGAAGAAUUCAGUUUAUGAAGUGUUGUCCCCUUUUCCAUUUGUUGUUCCCCUUG
rnacentral:lncRNA from 1 species